AUGUACCAUUUAACUGGAAUUAACCGAUGCAAGUCCAAGAAGGAUUGGCCGAUGCUUCCGGCUGGCUUCAAGUUCGAACCCACGGAUCAGGAGCUGAUCGAGCACCUUGAGGCCCAAGUGAGUACUGACAGCGCGAGAUCUCACCCUCUCAUCGAUUUGUUCAUACCAACCAUCGACAGCGAGCACGACAUAUGUUCCACCCAUUCUGAGAAACUUCCAGGUAUCACACUAAGUGGCCUAAGGAAGCAUUUCUUCCAGCACAACUCCAGGGCGUUCAAAAGGGGCACACAGAAGCGUCGCAAGAUACAGUCGGAGUGUGAUGCGAUGUGGCACAAGACCGGCAAUACCUUGCCGAACUUCGACCAGCAGAGGACUAACUGGGUGAUGCACCAGUACCACCUCGGGGACCUCGAGCAAGGGAAGGAGCGGGAGCUGGUCAUAUGCAAGAUUUUCUACCAGACCAACACUAGGGCCAGGACUAAAAAGAUUAUAAGUUACUUUGGUAUUGGUAUACUUGUACUACCUGGUCGUCUGCAAGUUGGUAUUGUUGUUAAGGAUCUUUCGCUCUCCAAAAAAAAUUACAUCUUCGAAGUACGCACAGGAUCCAUCCGAUUUGACAGGCUGAUAGUUGGACGCAUCAUGUCAGAACUGGGUUGUGGCUUGCCAAGCCCAGCUGCAAAUUGUUAA
rnacentral:rRNA from 1 species